UUGAGCGACAUCCGCCGGACUGUGGCGUCCUCUGGUGUCUCUGUUGCUGGAGCGAGUCCCAAUGAGUUCCCAUCUCCGCCGCAGACACUUUAAGAUUAGUUGGACCCUGAGAGCUAUCCUGAAAAACGGACUACAGGCAGGUGUGAUGGGUAUCACUUAUGAGAGAUGGCAAUUGAAAGCUGCUAUUGGGUGUCUCCUUCAACCUUGAGGCUACAGCUUGGAGACACGUGUUUCCAAUAACAGGUCCUUACCACGUGAUAACUAACAUCUAAGAACUGGAUCCCAAACAAACAUCUUCCAGGACAUUAGCUUCAAAUAGACCUCCGCUGACACUGGCAUCAAUACCUCCUACCUUUGAUGAUUCAUGAAAGAACAACUAUUAUUCACCUGUCACUCACCUUUGAUUGGACCCUACCCUGGAUUUCUAAAGGAACAUGGACCCUAGAUCCUUUUCCAGUAGGAACCCCUAACACCAAGCAAUAGUGACUCAUUCUCCUUUCUAAGUCUCCUACAUCAAUUACAAAUCCUAUUCUGGAGUCAGACAUCUCAUAUGAUUCCUGGCUCUGCUACCUAUUAGUAUGAAUUAGGCAAG